UAUAGUUAACUGCAGUUACCCUCGGAAUCGAAAAGAGAACAACAUAAUUGAGUGUGUUUUCAGUGAAAGGUUUUUCAAUUGAAUAUUCUUAUGAAUGUCCGGUUGAACUCUUUCGUUAAAAUGAAUGUGAAAAUAUUCAUGUAUCCAAGGCAACGAGAAACUGAUGCUGCUUCUGGUCCUCCAUUUUUCUAUUCUAUUCUUCAGCAGAGUGAUGAACAGAAAGUGAGUUAUGGCUAGAAACCGCCAGUAGAGAUCAUCUUUGACGGCGACAUUCUUUUGAUAGAAGGGCUUGUUGUUUCAGGAUUGUAAAUAAUAAUUAUUAAAAAAAAACAUGUAUUUCAUGGAAUCUUGAAUAAAUGAUACUACAACAAACAUGCUUUGUCAUCAAUAAAAAAAAUGAAAAGAUAAAACGCGAAUAAGUACCUCACCCAAAACCAGAAAAUUGGUUGAAUCAACCAGCAAAUUUGUUUGUUUUGAAAUGAUUCUUGUUUGAAUCAAACCACUGUUCUUAGUUUGAAACAACCUACGUUCUUGGUUGUUUCAAGAACUGUCAAAUUGAACAACAAAUGAUUUGGUUGUUUCAACCUAAGAUUUGUUGAAAUCAUCUAGAAUAUGUUGGUACGAACAACAUGAAAUCUUAGUUUGUUUUCAACAAUGCAUUUGGUUGAUUCAAACCCUAAUUUUGUUUGUGCAUAAUUCAAACUAAUGUUUUGUUUGAAAUGAACUAAUAAUUGGUUGUUUUUACUAUUUAUUUUUC